rnacentral:rRNA from 1 species
UACACUCCUACGGGAGGCAGCAGUGGGGAAUUUUGGACAAUGGGCGAAAGCCUGAUCCAGCAAUGCCGCGUGAGUGAAGAAGGCCUUCGGGUUGUAAAGCUCUUUUGUCAGGGAAGAAACGGUGAAAGCUAAUAUCUUUUGCUAAUGACGGUACCUGAAGAAUAAGCACCGGCUAACUACGUGCCAGCAGCCGCGGUAAUACGUAGGGUGCAAGCGUUAAUCGGAAUUACUGGGCGUAAAGCGUGCGCAGGCGGUUUUGUAAGUCUGAUGUGAAAUCCCCGGGCUCAACCUGGGAAUUGCAUUGGAGACUGCAAGGCUAGAAUCUGGCAGAGGGGGGUAGAAUUCCACGUGUAGCAGUGAAAUGCGUAGAUAUGUGGAGGAACACCGAUGGCGAAGGCAGCCCCCUGGGUCAAGAUUGACGCUCAUGCACGAAAGCGUGGGGAGCAAACAGGAUUAGAAACCCUAGUAGUCCCAU